GACGAACCGUCCAAACGUUGUUCGGAAUCACUGGGCUUAAAGGGCGCGUAGGCGGGUCUCCAAGUCGGUGGUGAAAUCUUUCGGCUCAACCGGAAAACAGCCGCCGAUACUGGGGGUCUCGAGGGAGGUAGGGGUCGAUGGAACUUCCGGUGGAGCGGUGAAAUGCGUAGAUAUCGGAAGGAACGCCGGUGGCGAAAGCGAUCGACUGGACCGUUUCUGACGCUGAGGCGCGAAAGCCAGGGGAGCAAACGGG
rnacentral:rRNA from 1 species